rnacentral:rRNA from 1 species
GGAGGAACCAUGGGAUCGCAAGACCUUGCGCUCAUUGAGCGGCCGAUGCCUGAUUAGCUAGUUGGUGAGGUAAAGGCUUACCAAGGCGACGAUCAGUAGCUGGUCUGAGAGGACGACCAGCCACACUGGGACUGAGACACGGCCCAGACUCCUACGGGAGGCAGCAGUGGGAAAUUUUGGACAAUGGGGGAAACCCUGAUCCAGCCAUGCCGCGUGAGUGAAGAAGGCCUUCGAGUUGUAAAGCUCUUUCAGCCGGAACGAAACGGUCACGGCUAAUACCUGUGACUACUGACGGUACCGGAAGAAGAAGCACCGGCUAACUACGUGCCAGCAGCCGCGGUAAUACGUAGGGUGCGAGCGUUAAUCGGAAUUACUGGGCGUAAAGCGUGCGCAGGCGGUUUUGUAAGUCAGAUGUGAAAUCCCCGGGCUUAACCUGGGAACUGCGUUUGAAACUACAAGGCUAGAAGGG